UCAGAAUCCAUGCUGGAAUAUGACGAUAAUCACCUUUCCCGAUGUGCCGCGAAUAGCGAUAGGUGUCUUCUGGACACCCAACAUCAUACAAUUGCAACGCACUCCGCUGCCUGUCAAGUACUGGCGGUGGAGAGUAGGCUGAUUUGU
rnacentral:rRNA from 1 species